AGGAAGCACCGGCUAACUCCGUGCCAGCAGCCGCGGUAAUACGGAGGGUGCAAGCGUUGUCCGGAUUUACUGGGUGUAAAGGGCGCGUAGGCGGGGAAGUGUGUCGGAAGUGAAAUCGUGCGGCUUAACCGUAUCAAUGGCUUCCGAAACUGUUUCUCUUGAGUGCGGAAGGGGCAGAUGGAAUUCCUGGUGUAGCGGUAAAAUGCGUAGAUAUCAGGAAGAACACCGGUGGCGAAGGCGGUCUGCUGGUCCGCAACUGACGCUGAGGCGCGAAAGUGUGGGGAGCAAACAGGAUUAGAUACCCUGGUAGUCCACACCGUAAACGAUGGUCACUAGUCGUCGGGGGAUUCGACCCCCUCGGUGACGACGCUAACGCA
rnacentral:rRNA from 1 species